rnacentral:tRNA from 1 species
AUGUUUUCCAUGUUUUGUUUGUUGGUAAGGACGACUCGUCUUUCCUCAUUUGUGAUUCUUAAACCCGAAAUUCGGUUGUUCACGAGACGCAUGCACAGAGACCAGCAAGUAAGGAGCCGCUGUGAAGGCAAACCCGUCGCAGUAGCGACGCGACUCCGCCACAAACCUAAGGAGAGGAAAUCUCGCGAUGCGGGAUUCCAGCGUCUCCAGCGUAAGCAACGCAGCUCAGAGCCAGGGCCCGCACGCCGUGUGGGGUCCCGCGACCUUUGCUCACCGCAGAAGCCCCGCCCACAAAGCUGGUCCCGCCCUGGCCGCCGCGAGGCGAGAACUCUAGAAAUGGAGCUGAUCCAGGUGGGCUCGUCAGGUGACGAAGAUGGAAACCCCAGGUCUGCCAGCAAGAAAAGAGAGUCUGUGGGUCAGAGACUAUCCCCAGGGCAUCCUUGGAGCCAUGACCUGAAGAGAGACAAGCCACAGACUGGAAGGAGCUACAUUUGCAUCACCACUGGAGAACAAUCACCCCCAAAGGAUUUGGAGAGAAGUCUUCUCUAGUACCCACUUUUAAGUCCCAGUUGUAUCUUCUUUUAUUCUCCCAGCACUCAGUGUAGUUGAGGGAAAAUUCUAGAUUUCCCAUAAUAUCUUGGUCAUGAAAGUGAAAUGAAAGUUACUCUGUCAUGUCUGACUCUUUGUGACCCCAUGGGGUGUAGCCAGCCAGGCUCCUUUGUCCAUUGGAAUUCUCCAGGCAAGAAUACUGGAGUAGGUAGCCAUUCCCUUCUCCGGGGGAUCUUCCUGACCCAGGGAUAAAACCUGGGUCUCCUGCAUUGCAGGCAGAUUCUUUACUGCUUGAGCCACCAGGGAAAAGGUCUUUAUAUAUAUGCAAGGCAAAGCAGAUCAGGACCAGGAGAGCAGGCUGAGAGCUGUAAGACUCCACAGGUAAGGGAGACCUUGUAGAAGUGCAGAGCAGUAGAAGGUGCAGAGGUGAGCAUUGCCAUCAGGAUGGGUCUUUGGGGCAUGCCAGCAUCUACCAGAGACCGGAAGGACUAUUUAGAGAAACUGAUAAAAAAAACUUUAGGUUACUUACUGCUGUUGCAAAGGGUUGGGCUUAGAAUGAUGGGUAAAUCAGGCAUUAACAUCUUCAUUUUACUAAUGAAGAAAUUAAGUUUAAUAGAGAAUAGGAGUGUUUGUUUUUGUUCCUGUUACAGUACUUAGUUCAUAGUAGAUAUACAGCAAAUAUUUGUUGAGGGAAUUCCCUAGUGAUCCAGUGGUUAGGACUCGAUGCUUUCACUACCUUGGGCCUGGGUGAGAUCCCUGGUUGGGGAACUAAGAUCAAGCCAAUAAAUAAAUAAGUAAAUAAAUAGAUAAAUAUUUG